AUUUUCUCAUGUAUCAGUGGGUACGUUUUUUCAAAGGAUGUGGUUCUAACCUCUGGACUGUGUGUUGGAGUGCUCUUCCUGCAGCUCCUGGGCAGCCCAGGACAGGACCCGUUUCUAAUUUCAUACCUAGUAGUGGAGCUGCUGGUUGCUUCACGUCUCCUGUUUAUGGUGUUGGGAGUUCUGUUUCAUGAAUGUUCGUCUCAGUUACUAAUUUUGUUUUAACUUUUUUAUUCUUUUGGUACCAGGGAUUGAACUCAAGGCACUCAACCGCUGACCCACAUCCCCAGCUCUAUUUUGUAUUUUAUUUAGAGACAGGGUCUCACUGAGCUGCUUAGCACUUCACUUUUGCUGAGGCUGGCUUUGAACUUUUGAUCCUCCUGCCUCAGCUUCCUGAGCCACUGGGAUUAUAGGCUCCACCGCGCCCUGCUUCAGUUGCUAAUUUUUAAAUCGAGCUUUUUGUUGUCUAUAGAAGUUUUUGCAGAUGAUAUUCAUGUGUUGAGAAUAAUGUAUUUCUUUGCUGUAUGUAUCACACAGAGUUUCCCAGAUUAAAAACUUGUUUUUUG
rnacentral:lncRNA from 1 species